UGAUGUUAUCCCCAACUUUAACUUAAUCUUAAAGUAUAAUUGCAAUAAUAAUAUGGUUGAAUUUAUUUAAUCUAUUCUAAUAUUUAAUAGCAGGGAGGUUGGAGAGCCAUGUGGCCCCCUCCUAAAAUUUCAGAACUUUAUUAUAUUUUUUUAUAAAAAAAAACUAAAUAACAAAGACAUAAACGAUAAACGACAAAUCAGAAGAAGUCAUUCUCUCCUCCAACCUUCAACCUUCCCCUUCAACCUUCACAUCUGAAACAACAAAAAAACCAAAUUGCAUCGAUUCAUCCCAUCAAUUAUCUCCAAGCUUGAAUCCUAUAUCAAAUUAUUAGUUUAAUUUCAAAAAGAAAACCCAAGAAGCCUCAUCUUUUGGUUGUGUAUGGGUGGGUUUUGCUGUUGAAUUUUCCAAUAAGAAUCAGAUAUACAAAUCAUUUUCCAUGCUCAAUUUGCAAUUUUGGGGUAGAAGUUGUAGAUAAAUUGCUUAGUGCAUUUGCUUUAUAAGGGACAAUGACGUAUCACAUAUCUUGGCAAAAUAACAAGGACUACAUUGGAAAUUUGGAGUUUCAGAAAGAUAUCAAGCCUUGAAGGAAACUACCAGUUGGGAUCUUCAAGUGGAACAAAAAUUUACAGGAACUUGAAUAUUGCAGAAGUCGGGUAUUUUAAAAAGGCGGGAACUUAUUCCUGAAGUUACACAAUUUCAAAUACCACAGUCAGAAAGCAAAAAUGGAGAUAAUGAGCAAAAAUAGCAAAAGCAUAAAAGAACUCCAACAAAUUUAUUUGGAACAAGAAGAUAACCAGAUUAAAGGAAAAAGAAUAAGAGUCAUCAACGACAUGGCAAAGGAAUAGGCUCGUGGGUGUGGAUGCAGGACAUCAACACCACAAGGAUAAAAUAUUUUUGUUUCUUAUAUAUUAGGUGUUGUAAACACAUUGGACGUAUUACUUUUUAGAUUGUAACUAAUCUGUUUGAUUUUAUCUAUUAGUUUGGGAUAACUUCAAAACAAUGUAAUUCUAAAAAUUUAUUUAUGUAUUGUACAAAGGAUUUAGCUUCCAUGUAACUAUUAGACAUAAUAAAGACUCCUGUAACUUAUGCAAAUUAUUAUUCAAUCAAAUGAAAAAUUUCAAAACAAACCACUCACUUUUUAUGAGUUAUAUUUUUAUAAUUUUCAUCUCCCGCCUUCAAAUACACCAACUUUUUUGUGAUAAAUUUAGUGUCACCUUUAGCAAUUCAAAUGCACUAUUUAAUAUUUUUGGUUGUUCAAACUAUAAAAUAAUAAGGAGUUCCGUGCA